rnacentral:rRNA from 1 species
GCGAACGCUGGCGGCAGGCCUAACACAUGCAAGUCGAACGAACCUUUCGGGGUUAGUGGCGGACGGGUGAGUAACACGUGGGAACGUGCCUUUAGGUUCGGAAUAACUCAGGGAAACUUGUGCUAAUACCGAAUGUGCCCUUCGGGGGAAAGAUUAAUCGCCUUUAGAGCGGCCCGCGUCUGAUUAGCUAGUUGGUUGAGGUAAUGGCUCACCAAGGCGACGAUCAGUAGCUGGUCUGAGAGGAUGAUCAGCCACAUUGGGACUGAGACACGGCCCAAACUCCUACGGGAGGCAGCAGUGGGGAAUCUUGCGCAAUGGGCGAAAGACUGACGCAGCCAUGCCGCGUGAAUGAUGAAGGUCUUAGGAUUGUAAAAUUCUUUCACCGGGGACGAUAAUGACGGUACCCGGAGAAGAAGCCCCGGCUAACUUCGUG